UCUCCGUAGGUGAACCUGCGGAGGGAUCAUUACAGAGUUCAUGCCCUACCGGGUAGAUCUCCCACUCUAUGUUAUUAUUACUUUGUUGCUUUGGCGGGCCGUUAGGCUCCGGCCCGACUACCGGCCCCGGCUGGUAAGCGCCCGCCAGAGGACCCAAAACCCUGAAUAUUAGUGUCGUCUGAGUACUAUAUAAUAGUUAAAACUUUCAACAACGGAUCUCUCGGUUCUG
rnacentral:misc_RNA from 1 species